rnacentral:rRNA from 1 species
CCUACGGGAGGCAGCAGUCGAGAAUCAUUCACAAUGGGGGAAACCCUGAUGGUGCGACGCCGCGUGGGGGAAUGAAGGUCUUCGGAUUGUAAACCCCUGUCAUGUGGGAGCAAAUUAAAAAGAUAGUACCACAAGAGGAAGCGACGGCUAACUCUGUGCCAGCAGCCGCGGUAAUCCAGAGGUCUCAAGCGUUGUUCGGAAUCACUGGGCGUAAAGCGUGCGUAGGCUGUUUCGUAAGUCGUGUGUGAAAGGCGCGGGCUCAACCCGCGGACGGCACAUGAUACUGCGAGACUAGAGUAAUGGAGGGGGAACCGGAAUUCUCGGUGUAGCAGUGAAAUGCGUAGAUAUCGAGAGGAACACUCGUGGCGAAGGCGGGUUCCUGGACAUUAACUGACGCUGAGGCACGAAGGCCAGGGGAGCGAAAGGGAUUAGAUACCCGGGUAGUC